AUGGUCACCGAUGGCGCCGUUGCGCUUGCCGCCUCGACUGCUGUCGGCAACGGCGGCCCUAGUGAUGAUGCGUCGGGUGGCGAAGCCGGUGAGGAGACACGCCGAGAUGGGUCUGGUCGCGGCCGAGGCCGCCGCCGUAGCCGCAAGCGACGGCGCACGUCUGACGCCCGCGACGGACGCGCGGACGGCAUGGCGAUCGACUCCAUCGGUUGGCGCGCCUCCAAUCGCCGUGGCCGCGCCGAUGGGAUCGCCGUCAGCGCCCGAUGGCCCGCCCCACGUCGUCGUAUGGACACAGCCAGGCCGCUGCAUGCCCGUACCCAGAGAAGGACGAUGGAGCCCUGGCCCACAGCAGGCGGCCAGCUGCGCUCUCGUCGGCUUUCCAAAAGAGGGAGACGCGGUGGAAAGAAAAAGCGAGCUGCUGAUGCGGCAAGGAUCGCCAAGGCUGCACCGCUGCUCGCUGGCCCGUCCUCUGAUCAUGUGCUGCUGGGCCCGACGACGUCUGAUGGCCAGCCACCAUUGGCUGAGAGCCAUGCACCACUGCUAUCGCCCCAUGAGCAGGACCGGUGCCUUGCAAAAGCUCUGCCGGCCCAGGCCAAUCCUGACAGUCCCGCAGGCCAGGACUGCCCCACAGGCCACUUGUCGCUGGACAGCGAGGUGCCCGAUUCGCCCAUCCCCACCCCCGAGGAUGAUCCUUUGUCGGGGCAAAGUGGUGUUUCGCCCCCAUCAGCGCUCGCAGCGGUGCUGUCCCACGAUGACCGGUCCACGGACCCUGCUCCACUAGCGCAUACUGGCCCACCGGCCCAAGCCACGGAGCAGGCCCCGCCAUGCGACCACGAGGAAGGGCUUCUGGAGUCUCCCACGGCCGCGCCAUGCGCGCCAAGCAUGGACCCCUCCCCUGCGGCCCCAUGCGAGGGAGAGGCUGCGCUGGACAACGCAUCCACGCCGCAGCCAUCCCUGGACGGCCCACCUGCCCACCCGGCUCAGACUGCAUGCACCCACCCGGCCCAAGCUGCAUGCCCCGCUAUGGAGAGAACUCCAACGCGCUUCGCCUCGCCCCCGGUGACCCUACGCCGUACACGUCCAUGCGCUGGCGCAACUACAACGACAACCUGGACCCUUGGCGACUUCCUCGCUGCUGCCACCAAGCAGCUCGACGCCGCACUUCCAACUCCCGAGAAACGUCAGCGGCGAUGCCCGCCCAACUUUGCCCCGCGACGUGGAAGAUCUGCCUCGGCUUCAACAUACAAGGUGGCUGCUCCACCUACCGCCGAAAGACGUGCGCAAAUCCACGUCCUGCGCACCCUUGGGAUUGUUGGGCUGGACUAG
rnacentral:rRNA from 1 species